rnacentral:rRNA from 1 species
CAGCAGUCGCCGCGGUAAUGCGAAGGGUGCAAGCGUUAAUCGGAAUUACUGGGCGUAAAGCGUGCGUAGGCGGUGAGUUAAGUCUGCUGUGAAAUCCCCGGGCUCAACCUGGGAAUGGCAGUGGAUACUGGCUCGCUAGAGUGUGUCAGAGGAUGGUGGAAUUCCCGGUGUAGCGGUGAAAUGCGUAGAGAUCGGGAGGAACAUCAGUGGCGAAGGCGGCCAUCUGGGACAACACUGACGCUGAGGCACGAAAGCGUGGGGAGCAAACAGGAUUAGAUACCCCCGUAGUCCCUGUCUCUUAUAA